rnacentral:ribozyme from 1 species
UUGAUUAGUAGUAUGAGAUAAAAUUGAACAUAUUGCAAAUAUAGAAGAAUAGUGUACACCUUUGUUUUCUUUGCUGCUUUUUUUUCGCCUUGCUUGCUUGCUUGUUUGUUUGUUUC